UACGUAGGGUGCAAGCGUUAAUCGGAAUUACUGGGCGUAAAGCGUGCGCAGGCGGUUAUAUAAGACAGAUGUGAAAUCCCCGGGCUUAACCUGGGAAUGGCAUUUGUGACUGCACGGCUAGAGUGUGUCAGAGGGGGGUAGAAUUCCACGUGUAGCAGUGAAAUGCGUAGAUAUGUGGAGGAAUACCGAUGGCGAAGGCAGCCCCCUGGGAUAACACUGACGCUCAUGCACGAAAGCGUGGGGAGCAAACAGG
rnacentral:rRNA from 1 species